rnacentral:rRNA from 1 species
UACGAAGGGGGCUAGCGUUGUUCGGAUUUACUGGGCGUAAAGCGCACGUAGGCGGAUCGUUAAGUCGGGGGUGAAAUCCUGGAGCUCAACUCCAGAACUGCCUUCGAUACUGGCGAUCUUGAGUCCGGAAGAGGUGAGUGGAACUCCUAGUGUAGAGGUGGAAUUCGUAGAUAUUAGGAAGAACACCAGUGGCGAAGGCGGCUCACUGGUCCGGUACUGACGCUGAGGUGACGAAAGCGUGGGGAGCAAACAGG